AGGCAACACUCUGUGGCAGAUGGUCAAAACUAUCUGACACAGUCUGAGCUUGAGAAAUAAAGUCGGAUCUUUUCUGAUGCUCUUGUCUCUGUGAGACAAGCUGUUGUAUAGACUUAGGUGGU